rnacentral:rRNA from 1 species
CGCGUAGGUAACCUGCCUUGUAGCGGGGGGAUAACUAUUGGAAACGAUAGCUAAUACCGCAUAACAAUGGGUGACUCAUGUCAUUUAUUUGAAAAGGGGGCAAAUGCUCCACUACAAGAUGGACCUGCGUUGUAUUAGCUAGUAGGUGAGGUAACGGCUCACCUAGGCGACGAUACAUAGCCGACCUGAGAGGGUGAUCGGCCACACUGGGACUGAGACACGGCCCAG